AACAGUAGCAGGUCGUGCCCAGGUGGCUUAUGGGUCAGACCUGAAGAAAAAGAAUGAUGGCACCCUCCUGGGUGCUGGAUGUCAAGGACCUGGUGGUGCACGAUACAAAUAUCCAGAGAACUGCUGCAGAGAUCAUCACAUCACUGAGUGCCAUGUCUGCUGUGGAUUUAGGAUAUGAAAUCUUAGAAAGGGAGGAUGCUUGAUUCAAGUUCUCUGCUCAAGCAAGUGACUGUGAAGACAGGCCAAGAAGAAAUAGAGUACAAAUGCUGUUGAAGACAUAAUCCACAAAUCGAAAGAUUUUUCAGCCAUGAACACCAUAUUUGAUUGACAGUUGUAAAGACCUCCUGUGAUUUAAGAAAAGUGAAGAUAAUUCUUCCAUAUGAAGAAGAGAAGAAACCUCCAGAAACAAGUGUAUCAUAAGUUGUUGUAACCUCAUCUUGUUCCAUCUUAUUAGACAAGCAUUUUUUUUCUUCAAUAAAAACCCUGAGCAG
ensembl:antisense uncharacterized LOC110297770